CACGUAGGGCGCGAGCGUUGUCCGGAUUUAUUGGGCGUAAAGAGCUCGUAGGCGGCUUGUUGCGUCGGCUGUGAAAACCCAUGGCUCAACCGUGGGCUUGCAGCCGAUACGGGCAGGCUAGAGUUCGGUAGGGGAGACUGGAAUUCCUGGUGUAGCGGUGAAAUGCGCAGAUAUCAGGAGGAACACCGGUGGCGAAGGCGGGUCUCUGGGCCGAUACUGACGCUGAGGAGCGAAAGCGUGGGGAGCGAACAGG
rnacentral:rRNA from 1 species